GGAGGGCAAGUCUGGUGCCAGCAGCCGCGGUAAUUCCAGCUCCAAUAGCGUAUAUUAAAGUUGUUGCAGUUAAAAAGCUCGUAGUUGAAUUUCGAGAUCGGCUUACUGGUCGUGCUUUUGUACGUACUGGUAUAAUCGGUUUCUCCUUUCUGACGAACUUUAAUGCCAUUAAUUUGGUGUUUUAGGGAAUCAGGACUGUUACUUUGAAAAAAUUAGAGUGUUUAAAGCAGGCUCACGCUUGAAUACAUUAGCAUGGAAUAACGGAAUAGGACGUUUGAUUCUAUUUUGUUGGUUUCUAGGAUCGACGUAAUGAUUAAUAGGGAUAGUUGGGGGCAUUAGUAUUCAAUUGUCAGAGGUGAAAUUCUUGGAUUUAUUGAAGACUAACUACUGCGAAAGCAUUUGCCAAGGAUGUUUUCAUUAAUCAAGAACGAAAGUUAGGGGAUCGAAGACGAUCAGAUACCGUCGUAGUCUUAACCAUAAACUAUGCCGACUAGGGAUCGGAUGAUGUUAAUUUUUUAAUGACUCAUUCGGCGCCUUACGGGAAAC
rnacentral:rRNA from 1 species